rnacentral:lncRNA from 1 species
CACAGAAGCAAUCACUAACAAAGUAACAAUAGUAGUACAACUACUUGCAGAUAACCAGAGUCAAGCUCUGCGUGCUCAGUUAAACCCAACACGUUCAACAAUACAGUUGGUUCUGUGCCUAACGCAUAAAUGUAACUUACUGUGAGCGCAUCAUCAACCUAAAAACUUACAUUACAAAAAGCACAAUCGUGUGGCAGAGAUGGUAAUCAGAAGCUGCUGAAAUGAACUACUGCUUUUGAUAUAUCAGUUUGCCAAAAGAGGCAACAGAGCAUUGGCAGUCAUCCAUCAAUCAAUUCCCCAUCCAGCAAUAAGAGCACUUGAGAGUUCCAGAUAACCAGAGUCGGCAAGCACCAACUAAAGCAACAGAACCAGCUACAGUCGCUACUAGAUAGAUAGAUAGAUACAAGCAAUGCAGAUGCAAUCUAGGAGGAGGUGAACUUGGUGACGGCCUUGGUGCCCUCGGAGACGGCGUGCUUGGCGAGCUCCCCGGGGAGGACGAGGCGGACGGAGGUCUGGAUCUCCCGGGAGGUGAUGGUGGGCUUCUUGUUGUAGCGGGCGAGCUUGGCGGCCUCGGCGGCGAGCUUCUCGAAGAUGUCGUUGAUGAAGGAGUUCAUGAUGGACAUGGCCUUGGAAGAGAUGCCGAUGUCGGGGUGCACCUGCUUCAGCACCUUGAAGAUGUAGAUCUUGUACGUCUCCACGCCCUUCUUCG